UACGUAGGGUGCAAGCGUUGUCCGGAAUUAUUGGGCGUAAAGAGCUCGUAGGCGGUUCGUCGCGUCGGCUGUGAAAACCUGAGGCUCAACCUCAGGCCUGCAGUCGAUACGGGCGGACUUGAGUACUGCAGGGGAGACUGGAAUUCCUGGUGUAGCGGUGAAAUGCGCAGAUAUCAGGAGGAACACCAGUGGCGAAGGCGGCUCACUGGCCCGAUACUGACGCUGAGGAGCGAAAGCGUGGGGAGCGAACAGG
rnacentral:rRNA from 1 species